rnacentral:rRNA from 1 species
CAGCAGCAGCCGCGGGAAUACAGAGGGUGCAAGCGUUAAUCGGAUUUACUGGGCGUAGAGGGCGCGUAGGUGGUUAUGUAAGUGUGAUGUGAAAUCCCCGGGCUCAACCUGGGAACUGCAUCUUAUACUGCGUAGCUGGAGUGCAGUAGAGGGUAGUGGAAUUUCCGGUGUAGCGGUGAAAUGCGUAGAUAUCGGAAGGAACACCAGUGGCGAAGGCGGCUACCUGGACUGACACUGACACUGAGGCGCGAAAGCGUGGGGAGCAAACAGGAUUAGAUACCCCCGUAGUCCCUGUCUCUUAUAC